GGUUUGCAGCGCAAAGCCUCCACAGGGCAGCGGGGUGCCUUCAUCCCGCUGCCCUCCGGAGGCUUCGCGGGCUGUCCCAGAAGCCUCCGCAGGGCAUGGGGAUGAAGGCUCCCCGUGCCCUGUGGAGGCGUCGCGCAAAGCUAUCC
rnacentral:miRNA from 1 species